ACCCGCCCCCUUUGCCGGAACCGUCGCAUCUUCCAACGGAAAUCUAGUUGCCAAACCGGGUGGGAAUGCGUCAUUGGUACGUAAUCUGAGAGGCCCUGCAUCUCAUAUCACGCCAUGGUGCCCCUCCCCCCCCCGCGUCACAUGACCGGCUCGGUCCCACCCUCGAAGACCACAGAACGUGACGCUUUGGUUGUCACGUGUCUCGGCGCUGUAGACUCCAUCUCUGGAAUACCCUUCCUCCCUACGAAGUCCUCGGCACCCCGGCGCCCAAACUACGCCCCUCCAGCCCCCACGAGGCGGGGAGGGGUCUGCUGACUAUCCUCAGAGACCCUUUGAGGCAGUGGGUGGCAAUUGACAUGAAGUUUCAAGCAAAGGAAGAAUGACCUCUCUCUAGUAUGCCCUGGUAAGGAAAUCUAGAGUCCUGUGACCGAGUUGCGCGGAGUUCUGGAAAGUCACUUCUUGUCUCUGGGCUUCAGUCUCCCAUCUGUACAAUGGGUGGCAUAGAGGGAUGGGGAGAUAAUCUCUAUGGAUAUUCCCUGCUCUAAAGUUCAUUGAUUAUGAGGUUGGAAACUGUAAAAUAUGCUCUGAUUCUACUGGAAGGGCUUUGAUCCUUCUCUUCCCUUCAGAACCCAGCCCACCUGGGGCUGGGAAUGAAGGAGUGAAGAUGGUGCUGCACUAAUCAACUGACAGGAGGAAUGAAGCAUUGGAGAAUUUUUCAGGAGGCCAAGCCUUGUCCCAUGGGGUCCCCUGGAGAUCAUGAGGAAGGAUUUCUCCACUCUUAGGUCUUCUGUGUCAUCCUCUGCCUCCCUUCCCUCCCCUUCCCUCUCUCUCUCUCUUUCUCUCUCUCUCUCUCUCUCUCUCUCUCUCAGUGCGACAGUGGAAGGGCUUUUGGACACCUGACUCCUAGUCCUGCAUGUGAUCUGGGAUAACUCAUUGCUCCUCUCUGGGACUUAAUUUCUCCAUUUGACAAAUUGGUCUGGUAAUUUUUGUCUUGCCUAAGGUAAGAAUUGAACAGUUAGAAAGACUGUUAGGUUAGAAAGACUAUGGAGGGGUCUUGUGAACUGUUGAGAGUUGCCCCUUUGUGGGGUUUUAUUUUUUUAAGUUUAUUUAUGUAUUUUGAGAGAGAGAGAGCAGGGGAUGAGCAGAGAGAGAAAGAAUCCCAAGCAGGUUCCACACUGUCAGCAUGGAGCCUGAUGUAGGGCUCAAACUCAUGAACUGUGAGAUCAUGACCUAAGCUGAAAUCCAGAAUCAGACGCUUAGGCUGCCUGGGUGGCUCAGUCGGUUAAGCAUCCGACUUCGGCGCAGGUCAUGAUCUCACUGUCCGUGAGUUUGAGCCCCACGUUGGGUUCUGUGCUGACAGCUCAGAGCCUAGAGCCUGUUUCAGAUUCUGUGUCUCCCUCUCUCUCUGCCCCUCCCCACUCAUGUUCUGUCUCUCUCUCUCUCUCAAUAAUAAAUAAACACUAAAAAAUUGAAAAAAAAAAAAAAGAACCAGACGCUUAACCAACUGAGCCACCCAGGUGCCCCUCCUCUGUGGGCUUUUAUGACCACAGGUUCCAGCUCUUUCUAGGACCACCAGUCCCACCUGUCUGUUUGUUAGCCUCUUGAUGGUUUGCCUUCUUGGUUCCUGCUGUGAUCUGUAGUUGUUGGUGCCUUUGUUAAACUUCCCAGGAUUGUGAUACUCAUUAUUUUAUUUGUGGUCUCUGGGUGGGAUCACAGGGCUUUGGAAUGGUGACUUAAGGUCACAGGAGGCUGGGCUCAGAGCCUCAUGGAGUGGAAUGUGGAGGGGGUGGGGAGCAGGGGCCAUAUAGGGAAAAUAGCUCUGGGGUUGGAACUCUCUAAAGCUGAGCCUUUAUCUCUAUUUCAUGGUUUUUGGGUUAUUCCUUCUGGGCCCUCUGAACAGUCUUUUUGUUUUGUUUAUUUUUGAGAGACAAGAGAGAGAGCAUGAGCAGAUGAGGGGCAGAGAAAGAGGGAGACACAGAAUCUGACGCAGGCUCCAGGCUCUGAGCUGUCAGCACAGAGCCCGACAUGGGGCUCGAACUCACGGACCACGAGAUCAUGACCUGAGCUGAAGUCAGAUGCUUAACCGACUGAACCACCCAGGGGCCCCUGAACAGUCUUGAAGUGUGUGUUAAGUAUAUGGGGUCUUGGCUGUGUAGGUAUUAGGGAUGUGUGUGUUCCUUCCAGUCUGUGUGAAGGUCAGUCCCUGCCCGGUCCUGAGGCGUGGCAGACUGUCUUGUCCCCUCCACCUGCAGGUCCAUCCUACCAACAUCCUACCUACACUGAAGCCAGAUGACCUGGGCUGGAAUCCCAGCUCAUUCACCUACUAUACAACGCUCUAAGCCAAGUUACAUAACCCUGCUAUGCCUCAGUUCCCUCACUUGAAAAAUGGAAAUGAUAACAGUACCAACCUCAUAGGACUGCCAAAAGGAUUAAAUGAGAUGAUAUAUGAAAAGUGAAUAGAACAGGGCCUGGUAUGGAAUAAGUGCUAUAUAAAUGCUUGCUGCUAUUAUAUGACAGUGAUGAUGAUGAUUGUUACCCUGAGGGGGUCAGCAGCCCUAGUGUCUCUGCCGGGGAUUCCAUUCUGCUGCUCUUCCAGGGUAUCCUCCUGCUUUCCAUCUCCUGCGCCCACUCUGCAUCAGGUACUAGGCUAGCAGCCUUACCAGCUUCUGCACAUCUCUCAUGUCUCCACUUGGCUCUGACAUACCAUAUAUUUCAUUUGAUAUUAUUUACAUUGUUUCCAUUUAUUCUGUAUAUUGUCUGUCUUCACCCCUCCUCUCCAUCUACCAGAAUGUAAGCUCCAUGAGGGCAAGGAUUUUCACCUGCUGUAUUCACUGCUGUGUCCCCAGCACCUACAACAGUGCCUGGCAUGUGGUAGCUGGUCAAGGAAUAUUCAUGAAUGAAUGAAAUUAGUAUUUUUAAUGUAAUAUUUAUAUAGCAUUUACUAUGUGCCAGGCACCAAUAUAAGCACUUUGUAAAUAUUAACUCAAUCUUCAUAGCAGUUCUAUGAGAUAGGUAACUGUUAUUGUCCUCAUUUUACAGAGGAGGAAACUGAGACAAAGGUAUUAGGUGCCCAGGUUUGCGCACUAGUGCAUGAGAGAGUCAAGAUUUGAAGCCAGAGAGUGGAGGUCUAGGUUCUGUGCUCUUAUCCACUCCACUAUGAUCCAAGGAAGAUGCGGGCCAGGGGAGGUUCCUUGGGUUCCAUCUACCUUUGGGAACUUGCUGCCACCUACAGAUGCCCUGUUUUAGAUCAUCUGUAGGGAGAGGGGGGCUGACUUUGCCUGCAAGACUGAGCCUUCUCCACUCCUCUGUCACAAGGUCUCUCUUCCACACCUGCUGGGUGGGGCUGACUGCUGGGGAGGUUGUUUGUCCUCUUCCAUCUCCCUGUUUGCUGUGUCCCCAGGAGCCAAAGAUAUCCAUGCCUGUUUCACAUAAAGGGCUUCUGUUUAUCCUACCAAUGUCUCUGAGGCUGUUUUUGUGCCAAGGCCCCCAGAGAUGAAGCCCCCACAGCUCUCUCUUCAUGAGUGUGUUUGUGGUCUGACCUUGACCACUCCCUAGAGUUCCAUCUGAGAACCUCUCUUCAGAUGCUACACACACUCUUGUGGCUUUAACUGGCAUGGAUAUGCUGGCUCCCCGAUCCAUGUCUCCAGCCCCAAAUUUUCUCCUGAGUGCCAGAUCUCUGAAUCCACUUCUAGAGGUCCCCUCCAGAACAUCCCCUCCUGGAUUUAAGGAACAUAGAUACCUUAAAUUCAAUGUGUUCCAAACAGGAUGCAUUGUCUCCCCUUGGAAAUCUCCUAAACUAGCUUCUAUUCCUCCUGUUUCCUCUCCUUGUGGGUUACACAUGGUCACGUGUGCCAUAACCCUCGUCUUGAACUUCAUUCUAAAAGUGAUGGAUCACACAAUUUGUCAGGAUAAGCUCCCUAAAAAUACUAGAAGAAAAUAUGGGCAAAAAUCCUUUAUAACUCUAGGAGUGAGGAAGGCCUUUCCAACUCCAACUCAAAAUUUAGAAGCUAUAAAAGAUUAAUACAUUUGUUUACAUGGAAAAAAUUCUGCAUGGCAAAAAAAAAAAAACCACAUCAAAGCAAAAUCAAAAGACAAUAAACUAGGAAAAGUAUUUGUAAUUCUUAUCAUAUACAACAGGUAACAUAUUUUUCUCUCUACUGUUUAAAGAGCUUCCACAUGUUGAUAAGAAAGCCCAACAGUUCAAUAAAAAAAUGGUCGAAGAACAUGACAGAUCACAAAAAAGAAAAUACAUAAGGCCUUAAACACAUGCAGAUGUUCAACUUCACACGUAAUGAGGGAAAUGAAAAGACAAUGAAAAACCAUUUUGUUCUUUUAUUGCAUUAGCAAUAACCCAUAUGUCUGACCAAAAAAACCAAAAAAAAAAAAAAAAACCCACAAAAACAAACAAAAACACUUUUUUGGCAAGACCGUGAGGAAACAGGGACUUUCACCCAUUGUGGGUAGGAAUGAAAAAUGAUACAACCCAGACAAUAUUUAUCAAAAUUCUAAAUGUACAUACACUUUGAACCAGCAUUCUCACUUUUGAAAAUCUAUCUGAAAAUCUACCUGUAUCGGUUAGCUAUUGCUUCUGAAGAAAUCACCUUAAUAUUUACUGGUAUCAAACAACAACGAUUUAUUGUUUCUCCAGAUUCUAAGGAUGGUCAGGUGGUUUUUCUGCUGAUCUUACCUUAGAUUACUCAAGUGGUGGCAGUCAGCUGACACCGCAGCUGGGGCUGGAUGGCCUGUGAUGGCUAUCACACUAGUCUGAGACCUUAGCUCUGAUGACUCGGUCAGCUGGGAUGGCUGAGCCACUCUCUCCUUGUGGUACUUCACCCUGAGUGUGUGUGUGUGUGUGUGUGUGUGUGUGUGUGUGUGUGUGUGUGUGUGUGUUCUAAGUAAGUUCUACACCCAACAUACAGCCUAAACUCACAACCCCGAGAUCAAGAGUUGCAUGUUCUACUGACUGAGCCAACCAGGUGCCCCCAUCUUGAGCUUCUUCAUAGCAUAGUGUCCUCAUGGUUCCAAAAGGGUGGGAAUAGAAGCUUCAGAGUCUCUUGAGGCCCAGUUCAGAAGUUGUGCAACAUUGUGGCAUAUCCAGUAAGUCCAAGCAAGUCACAAGUCCAUGCCAGCUGCAAAGGGGGGAGAAAUGGAAUUUUAUUUCACUAUAUCUACCAUGUAUGAAAUGACAUAUACGUCAGUGUUAUUCAUUGGAUAUUGUUUGCAGGUUUGUCCAUCAGUGGGUAAGCAGCUGUCAAAAAGGAUGAGGAUGCUCAUUAUGUUAGUCAGAUAUCAAGGUGUAGAAUGAGAAUAUCAUGCUAACGUGGUAUAAGAAAAAAAUGUGUGUGUGCAUGUAUGUGUGUGUAUGUGUGUGUAUACUUAUAUCCUCAGAGAAAUCCUGGAAAGCUACAUAAGAAACUAAUAAAAGUUGUUCCCUACGGAUGUUUCUUGAGAACAAGGUGGUAAGCACUAAUGUCAAGAGUAAGAAUUUUCACUGUAAACCUUUUAUAUUAUUUAGAUUUUUUGAACCAUAUGGAAGUAUUACCUAUUUUAAAUAAUUGUAUCAAAGAAAGAAGGUACCUUUGAAUAAUUUCAAAUGAAGGAAUAUAUCUGUCUUAGCUUGGGCUGAUCUAACAAAACACCAUAGACUGGCCAGCUUAAACAAUAGACAUUUAUUUCUCACAUUUCUGGAGGCUGGAAGUGCAAGAUCAAGGUGCCAGCAGAUUUGGUUCUUGGUGAGGGGUCUCUUCCUGCCUCUCUCCAUCUUCAGCAUGGAAGAAAGAAGAAGCUCUGGUGUCUCUUCCUUUUCUUAAAAGGGCGCUAAUCCGAUCAGGGUCUCUACCCUUGUGACCUUAUCUGAACCUGAUUACCUCCCAAAGGCCCCACCUCCUGAUACCAUUACAGUGGAGGUUAUGGCUUCAACAAAUGAACGCGGUGGGGGGGGGGGGGAAUGCAGACAUUCAGCCCAUAACAGAAUACUCUGAUCAAACUUUCAUUUUACAAGGGUCCUGCUGGUGGCCACCACAGAUGGCUGUGCCUGUGGGCACUAUGGGAGCUAUCACAUGAGAGAGGCACCAACCACAUCGUAGAUAUCAAUGUUUAUUACAGUUGUCUGACAGAUGGAAGUAGAGUGUCAUGAGGAAGGCAAACCUGUUUCUAUUUGCACACAGGUGCAGUAAGGGUUGGCAAUAGUCCUGGUUACGUGAAGGUUGAUUGGGAAAUCAGGAAUCACCUCAGGCCAAAAAUAACGAGGCCUGGAAGUGGGGAUGGAACCUCCGUUAACAGAGUCUAUCAGACAUGGUUGCAGAUUGGGAAAAUUGGUGAGGGAGUAGGAGGGUCCUAGAUCACUUCUGGAUAUCUGGCUCUUGCUGUAUGUGGAGACAAGUUUUCUGGAAUAAGAGAAAGUAUUUCAAAUAAAUUACCUUUAUAAAUCACAGCAAUAGACUAUUAGAAAAUGUAAAAGCACCAUUUAUAGAAAUAUAUAGUGCCUAAGUAAACCUUUUUAAAAUAUGUUAAUAUCUUUUGUGACAGAACAUUUAAAAUUUUAUCAGAUUUUAAAGAAAUCCAAAACCGAUGGAUAGAUAUACCAUGUAAAUGAAUAGGAAGACUCAAUACUGUAAUGACAUCAGUUCUUCCAAAAUAUAUCUACAAAGUCAGCACCAUGAUCCAGUGUCUCUGCUGCAUGACGUUGACUCUGGUUUUGAAGGACAGAAGGGCUGGUGUGACUCAGUGGGGAGCCAGAUACCAAUUGGCUAAGAGAAUGUUUCGAUAGUCAAAAAUUUCUUCCUGGAUUGGAUCCCAGCUCUUGCCUUGAAUAAAUUACUUAAACUCUU